GACGAACCGUGCGAACGUUAUUCGGAAUCACUGGGCUUAAAGCGCGUGUAGGCGGGACGGCACGUCGGUCGCUGAAAGCCCCCGGCUCAACCGGGGAACGGGCGCCGAUACGACCGCCCUGGAGGGACGUAGGGGGACCUGGAACUUCCGGUGGAGCGGUGAAAUGCGUUGAGAUCGGAAGGAACGCCGGUGGCGAAAGCGACACACUGGGUCUCAACUGACGCUGAGGCACGAAAGCCAGGGGAGCGAACGGG
rnacentral:rRNA from 1 species